rfam:Populus trichocarpa scaffold_10_contig_133, whole genome shotgun sequence.
UUUAUAACUCCAUAUAUGGGUUGAACACCAAACAAUGUCUAGGCUGCAGGAAAGAUUCAGACUUCUCUUUUGUUGUUAAUAUUUAAGCUAAAAAACAACAGAAUUGAGUCUUAGGCUCUUUAUGAAUGUUUUAGGCCUAUAUCUUAGCUUUUUAUU